UGCCAUGAUGGUUUGAACCAGCACAAGCCUUU
rnacentral:piRNA from 1 species